GUCUGUCUUUCUCUCCUCCCUCUGUCUUCCUCUCCUCUCUCCAUUUCCCUCUGUCCUAUCCAACAACGAACGACAUCAAUAACAACAAUAAUAACCACAACAAGGCUACAACAACAAAGGCAACAAAAAACAAAAGGGGGAAGAAAUGGCCACCAGGAGCAGUGGAUUCAUGGUGCAGGCACUGAGCCCUAGCAAUAAUCCUGGAGGCAAAAAUAAAAUAAAAUAAAAUAAAAUAAAAUAAAAUAAAAUAAAAUAAAAAACCAGACCAAAAGCCACUGCACAGGCACUAGGCAUGUGGUGUGCAGAUGGGCUCCCUUUCUGCACUGCAAGACAGUCACCACCACAGCCCUAUCUGACACUCCCACACGUCACAGAGAAUUACCACUUCUGCUUUGUGGUGAAAACACACCACCAUCCUCUCCUUCUCCCCGCUCACAGAAGCGAGUCCUUCGCCUUAUUUUUUUAUGAGCACAUUUCUUCUUCAUCUUCACCACCCCCUCCCCGCCCUACAACUUCAAAAGAGCCCCCUUCAACCAGGCUGCUGUUCUCACGAGCGCUGUGGAUAUCAGCCUGCCACCUCCCUCCAGCUCAAGGGGCAAAGUUGCCCAGGAUUUCCGGCCCAGACAGAAAGAUCUGGAAGGGCUGUGAACGAACAAACUCCAAAUGAAGAGGGCAGGGAGCCCAGGCUUCAUGUGGUUUUCACUCUCAACUGGCAACAGAGACUUCUGCCUUCUGGGGAGCCUGGACUUGGAGUUCUGGAUCCAUGGGGGCUGGUGGGUGACCUCUGACUCCUCAGAAGCCUUGGGCUGCGAUGCUUAGACAAACAGACGCGGGGCAGGCGGCCAGAAGCCAGGUCUCCUCAGCCCCACUGAUAGCACUGGAUGAAGAUGAGGGCCGGGCUGGUGACUGGUGUUUCAAUGGGGCGGGAGAGCCCAGACAGGAGCGCUGUCCCACGGGCCCCACAGGAAACCAGAGAGGGGCUCACUUCCUCUCUCUGGGCACGUCAUUGCCCUGGUGGCCUGGCUUUGAGGCAAAGUCUCCUAAAGAAGCCAUCUUGGUAGAUACCCAAACAAGGAGAGAGAGGUGCGGUCGGUGUGAGUGUGCUCGUGGCGGAGUGUCUCUGUCGUUUGGAGCUGAGAGGAUGCAAGCUGAGAAGCAGCCUCCAUGCACAGGUGAAGUUUGAGAACUUUCUGGAAAGAGUUCAAUUGUGCAGCUUGAAAGGCCAUAGCGGGAUGGGUGGCUUCAGCCACCUGUGUGUGAUCUGCAGACAUCUAGCAACACUCCUGUGGAGAGUUUGAGAAGAUCUGACCCCCUGUGUGUAAGUAAAUUGCAGCUGUCAAGUUCUCUACAGAAAAGCAGAAUUCCGAUGGCUGACAUUCCCCAUCGAGACAGAUGUACAACAAUUCACCCCCUGGCAAUUCUUCAGUGGACAUCUGCUUUGGACUCGCAUUUCUAUCAGACUCACUGGUACACCUCUUGGACACUUUGCACAAAACUAGCAGCUUCCCUGUAUGCAGCUGGGUUUCUCAAAGACUGACUAUAGCCAGCUGCCUUGAGACUCUAGGCCUCACCCUCCCCCCAUGCUAGAAAAUGCCCAUCGAAGCAAGUAACGCCCCCCAGAGGCAAAAGAAGCCCCCAGAGGCAGGAAAUGUUUUUUUUAGCUGAUAAAGUUUUGCCCACAGAGGCAAAAAUGCCCCCCUCAGGCCUUCCCUUGGCAGCACACUGGUUCUUGUUACUCGCUUAUAUGUUUCUCCAUGUUUGUGCCAGUUUCUUUUUUUGAAAAUGCCUGUAUGAAUAGGUUUCUGUUCACCCCACACCCCUGAUACUGUGGUCAUUUAGUUAAAAAAAAAAAAAAAAAGAAGGGGGAAUAUGGUGGUAUUCUUCGUGUUGGUUUGGUCCCCUUCCCCCUACUUCUGAGAGAUUUGGUUUGGUCCCUGCUAGUUUUGUGCCCCUCUUUCUCCCCACCCCCUAUGCUAAGGAGGUCAAGGGUCCCAGCAGCACCCACAGAAGGAGAAAGAUGGGGAAGCACAUGGUGUGGUGAUUUGCCCGCUCGUGAAUAAAGAUUAAACUGCAGCUUCUC